rnacentral:tRNA from 1 species
GGAGAGGUGUCCGAGUGGCUGAAGGAGCACGCUUGGAAAGCGUGUAGCCGAGCAAUCGGCUCGUGGGUUCGAAUCCCACCCUCUCCGCCA